AUUUCAAUUUUUCUUUUCUUCUUCUCUUCCCUCCACCGCCAAAGUUUUCUUUAUCCAUUUCCACUACUUUUUUCACCAUUUCUGCACCAAAUUUCAGGGGAAUUUCAAAGGGAAGAAGGUUGAGAAAGGAAGAAGAAGAAGUUCAAGAAUUUUUGUUGAAGAAAGACAAGGUAAAAUUGCAAGCAAAGCUUCAUACUUGGUAGAAAUUGAUUCACACAGUACACCUCUAAUGCUCUAUUGAUUCUGAGCUACACAAAAAGAAUUAAGAGGCCAAGAGGAAAUAGGUCGGAUUUACACAUCGGAAAACUAGUCGAAGACAAUGAGUGACCAAACUAGUUUUUUUAAAAAAAUAUUUUCUUUCUCCUAAAUAUUAAUUAUGAUUGACUGAUCUACACGUUUAUUUACAAAGCAUUGAAAAUCAUUUGAAGUCCAUGAUUAUUUCAAGUAUGAGUUUCGAGACUAAAAUUCUUACAGAAUGUUUAUGCUAGCACGUGAUUAUUGAAUGUCAGGAAAUUAUUUAAACCACUGUGUUCCAAACAAAGUAUGAGUUACCAAGUUUUGUUUUAAGAACUACAACUUUUCACGAAUAAUCUAAGUAAGUUUAAGUUUUAUGAAAGAAAAGGAUAGCAGGCAUGUUUUAUUGUUUUCAUACGAUUUUUCUGAUGUUUCUAUUAACUACAUGACUGAGGUGUUGAGCACGAGGCUAUAUGGUACUGUGUGCACGCAUGUUAGAUUCCGUUGUUGAUGUUAAGUGUACUCCGUAACAACGACGUUGUCGUGAGUGCUGAGCGGGUCUCACUACGACAAAGAUGAUGGGAGUGCUGGACGGGCCCCACUACAUCGUAGAGCUUGUAAACGUUGUUGUACUGGGUGACCCUACACAACGUAGAUUUGUCAUGUUAGUUAAAAUAUUUUGAUAUACUUGAUAGGCCUUGCUAGAUUUUAAUGGCGUAUGUACUGAGUAUUUAAGGAAGCUAUUCUUACUAUUAUACGUCUAUGUUUACGACUUGUAUAAACAGAUUUAUAAGUGUAGAGAUCGAGUUCCCGGUGCCUGAUAGACUGCCUUAGUCUACUGAAGCUCCGUUAUCGAUUGCCAGUACGUGUUUCGAGUUGGGCAUAAAAUCUGUUGUGUUAUGAUGUAUAUACACCCUUGUAUGUUAUAGAUACUCCACAGUUUGUAUAAGCUUUAGGAGUUGCAGUUGUGUAAACUUUUGUUGGUUAUGUUUUGGUUAAGGUGUCUCUAGGUAUACUUGUGAAAUUAGUUAUUUUCGAGAUACAUUUCUUGCAUGUAUAUGAUUAGUCUAGGAUUUGCUGCGUUGUGUGUAUGUAUAAUAGUUUAUAUACUAGAUUGGCAAGUUCAUCACAUCAAAUUUUUAAGUAGAGUCGAUAGAUACAGGUAAAGAAAAGCGUUGUCCGUCGACUUCAUGCCAUCUUUCGGUCUAAGCUAGCAGGUAGUCCGGGAGGAGGUGUGACACAUAUAGUUCUCUACGGGUUCUUUCGAGUGCCUCUUCUCCCAUUGGAUUGUUCAAAUUUUUCUCUAAGGAAGGCUCUAAAGGUUAUUGAAAUGAUGGUUCAAAUGUGUAAACGUGAG